rnacentral:tmRNA from 1 species
GUUUAGGUAGGCUGCCUGCUACCAGCCUAAACACGAAAAACAAUAGCAAGCUAUGCAUGUAGAAAGCUUACUGGUUAGUUGUUUGGACGAGGGUUCGACUCCCUCCAGCUCCACAA